AUGGUAAGAUCUCCAUUUUCUCUCCCUUUUUGUGUCAAUUUGAACAAUACACAAGUGCAAACAAGUUCCACUCAAGAGAAGUAUAAACAAGACACAACCCUCUUAACAAUGCCUUGCUGCUGGAAGUACCUGAAGCCUUCUUGGCACUUGAUUCAGCAGAUUCUCAAUUUCUUGUCACUUAUUUUCUUAUUUCUUGUAUCAGCGCCCUCCCAGGUACAACCGAAGACGACGAACUGUUUGAUGGUUUUUUUUGUCUUUCUCAGCUGUUGUUAUAUCUUAAUUAGAAAUUCACUUUUCAUUUAG
rnacentral:rRNA from 1 species